CUUAAUAUAGCUUAUAUUUUAAAGCUUUUGAAUGUUAAUCAAAAAAAAGGACUCUCCUAUUUAGA
rnacentral:tRNA from 1 species